UGUUUAGUGUGUCUUUUGUGAA
rnacentral:piRNA from 1 species